rnacentral:rRNA from 1 species
CCUACGGGGUGCUGCAGUGAGGAAUAUUGGUCAAUGGGCGGAAGCCUGAACCAUCCAAGUAGCUUGCGUGCUGCCUUCCCUCCUUUUCUUCCCCCUCUUUUGCACGGGGAUAACACCCUCCACUUGUGGAGGUCUGCAGGUACCGUGCGAAUAAGGGCCGGCUAAUUCCGUGCCAGCAGCCGCGGUAAUACGGAAGGCCCGAGCGUUAUCCGGAUUCAUUGGGCUUAAAGGGAGCGUAGGCGGGCGUUCAAGUCAGCUGUAAAAUCGCGCGGCUCAACCGCGCCCCGCAGUUGAAACUGGACGCCUUGAGUGCACAACAGGCAGGCGGAAUUCGUGGUGUAGCGGUGAAAUGCAUAGAUAUCACGAGGAACCCCGAUUGCGAAGGCAGCCUGCCGGGGUGCGACUGACGCUGAGGCUCGAAGGUGCGGGUAUCAAACAGGAUUAGAUACCCCGGUAGUC